rnacentral:rRNA from 1 species
AUUGAACGCUGGCGGCAGGCCUAACACAUGCAAGUCGAACGGUAACAGGAAGCAGCUUGCUGCCUCGCUGACGAGUGGCGGACGGGUGAGUAAUGUCUGGGAAACUGCCUGAUGGAGGGGGAUAACUACUGGAAACGGUAGCUAAUACCGCAUAACGUCGCAAGACCAAAGAGGGGGACCUUAGGGCCUCUUGCCAUCGGAUGUGCCCAGAUGGGAUUAGCUAGUAGGUGGGGUAACGGCUCACCUAGGCGACGAUCCCUAGCUGGUCUGAGAGGAUGACCAGCCACGCUGGAACUGAGACACGGUCCAGACUCCUACGGGAGGCAGCAGUGGGGAAUAUUGCACAAUGGGCGCAAGCCUGAUGCAGCCAUGCCGCGUGUAUGAAGAAGGCCUUCGGGUUGUAAAGUACUUUCAGCGGGGAGGAAGGGAGUAAAGUUAAUACCUUUGCUCAUUGACGUUACCCGCAGAAGAAGCGCCGGCUAACUCCGUG